UUCAAUACUGUCCACCAACGAAAUAUUUGGUGAUGGUGUGCACUUUUCUCUUAGUAAGACGUUGUGAUCCAUUAGGAAUUGAUUGGGCCGUGCAUGGCCUCACAUCAUUGGGCUACCAAUAGGCUGGCAUUGAAGUUCAUUUAGGCAAAUGGCACAAUCAUUUGGUUGUGUGUAUUGACGAAUGAGCAUGCCAUGUACACUGAUGUAGCUGCCUGAUGGAUUUUAAAGGUCAUAUCAUUGAUGCUUGUUCAUCACCCGCAGCAAUGCGGGCCAUUGGAUAUGUACCCGAUCGACAACGGUUUCAUUUGGGAUACCUUUGGGACCCGUCUUGAAACACGGACCAAGGAGUCUAUCUAGUAUGCAAGUAAAUGGGAUUAACCAACUAAACCUAUUUGCGCAAAUAACUUGACUGUUAUCCAAUGGGAUUACGUGCGAUUACAAAACAUAUAUGUGCCGCACCUCCAUCCCGGGGUAUUUUCAUCACAUAUGUGGGGGCUUGCUCUCACAUAUAGAAAAUAUACCAUGAGCAUACUGGACAUGACCCGAAAGAUGGUGAACUAUGCCUGAUCAGGUUGAAGUCAGGGGAAACCCUGAUGGAGGACCGAAGCAAUUCUGACGUGCAAAUCG
rnacentral:rRNA from 1 species